UUUGAUAGUAGGCCCAUGGAAAGAUAGGAUUUACAAUAGCAAAGUGGUAUGGCUUAGCAUGGUACAGCUAUCAAUUAUAGGGACUAAAGAUCCCAUCAGGUAAAAUUCGAGUGCCCGAGCAGAACAAAGAACCAAGAAUCCAAGCCUCCAUGCAUGCUGUUUAGGAAGAAGAUCUUCAUUCUUCUUCAUUACAGGAUAUAGAAUGAACUCCCCAGCCUUUCAUGUAUGAG